ACAGAUGCUUUUACAGCUCGCCUUGGCGGGAAGAUCUGGCACAAAUGAAGUAUCUAUAAGGAGCAGCAGAGUCAAGGAAGACACCAGACAAAUGAGUUACACUGUUUUGGACUCCCCAACACAACCCAGCCACCGGCUGAAUGCCACCAAAUUACCUUCUAGUUAAAGGUUUAUGGAGCAAACGAAUCACCUAUUCAAUAUCUGCUUGAAUUUCUGACUCAAAAUACAUCAGGAGCAUGGUCAUAUAAAUUGUUAUUUAUUCAAAUUAUGGAAUAUUAUAAAGCAGUGAAAAACAAGUUAACUAUAACCAGAUGGAAUAACUUUGAAGCCUCAGGGGCUGGAUCCUGACAUGAACCAGACACCUCCAGAAUUCUAUCCCAAGCAAAAGAUUAUUUCAAGGCCAGAACUCACUCCCUGCUGGAGACUGACUACAAGAUCCACUGAGAUUGAUGUGUAACCUGAUUGGGCCCACAGUGAUGCUAGCCCCUUCACCAGAUGGAACAAUAAUUCCAGACAAGCCAUCAGAGCAGAGAGCAGAGAAGAGGAGAAGCAGCUGGAUGUCAGAGACUGCAGUUUGACGUUGGAGAAAAGCAGCUUGACUUCAGAGGGACAGCUUGACAGCAUGGAUUCAGAGAGGAGAAGAUCACCUUCCUGCUCCGUCCCCUUUCCAGCUCCCUUUCCCACUGAGAGCCACUUACACAGGCAAUAAAAUCCUCUGCAUUCACCACC
ensembl:lncRNA novel transcript